rnacentral:snRNA from 1 species
AGCUUUGCGCAGUGGCAGUAUCGUAGCCAAUGAGGUUUAUCUGAGGCGCGAUUAUUGCUAAUUGAAAAAAAAAAAAAAACAACUUCCUGAUCUCCUACCUGUCACAGCUCCCCACUCCUCAAGUCCCCACCCCAGUCCCUGGAGCCAGAUUUUAUUUGUCAGGUUAAUGGUUAC